GAUGAACGCUGGCGGCGUGCCUAAUACAUGCAAGUCGAGCGAACAGACGAGGAGCUUGCUCCUCUGACGUUAGCGGCGGACGGGUGAGUAACACGUGGAUAACCUACCUAUAAGACUGGGAUAACUUCGGGAAACCGGAGCUAAUACCGGAUAAUAUAUUGAACCGCAGGGUUCAAUAGUGAAAGACGGUUUUGCUGUCACUUAUAGAUGGAUCCGCGCCGCAUUAGCUAGUUGGUAAGGUAACGGCUUACCAAGGCAACGAUGCGUAGCCGACCUGAGAGGGUGAUCGGCCACACUGGAACUGGGCCACGGUCCAGACUCCUACGGGAGGCAGCAGUAGGGAAUCUUCCGCAAUGGGCGAAAGCCUGACGGAGCAACGCCGCGUGAGUGAUGAAGGUCUUCGGAUCGUAAAACUCUGUUAUUAGGGAAGAACAAAUGUGUAAGUAACUAUGCACGUCUUGACGGUACCUAAUCAGAAAGCCACGGCUAACUACGUG
rnacentral:rRNA from 1 species